UACGUAGGUCCCGAGCGUUGUCCGGAUUUGUUGGGCGUAAAGCGAGCGCAGGUGGUUUAUUAAGUCUGGUGUAAAAGGCAGUGGCUCAACCAUUGUAUGCAUUGGAAACUGGUAGACUUGAGUGCAGGAGAGGAGAGUGGAAUUCCAUGUGUAGCGGUGAAAUGCGUAGAUAUAUGGAGGAACACCGGUGGCGAAAGCGGCUCUCUGGCCUGUAACUGACACUGAGGCUCGAAAGCGUGGGGAGCAAACAGG
rnacentral:rRNA from 1 species